GGUAAUUCUGCAACCACCGGGAUGUUUUGCCAAACAGCAAAACUAGCAAAACACAGCUGUAGACACCGAUUAGGUGCGGUCGGUCGGCAGGUGUGGACCGGAGUGCCAAACGGGCACAAUCGAAGUGGGUCAGAAUACAAAACACCCUCAAACGGACCCUAAUAUGAAUGUCGGUUUCACACGUUAUGGGCCAAGCAAGCUAAGCCCAAAAUCUUAACACAACACAUUAACACAACUCUUUGAGAAUGUAGACAGAGAGAACAACUCUGAGUUCAAUAUAAAAACCCCGCUCCCUUUAGCGGAAGGAGAGUAUUGAUUAAAACCUUCCUUUCUUCCCAGGGUCGGUUUGUACUGCUUUCUGGCUGACAGGAGCGUAACUUACAGUCUCUGUGGUCUCCAAUCAGAUUUUCUUUUAAUCUCGGAUUGUUUUGAGAAAUAGUGAUGGCCAAUGCAAAUACAUCAACAUCAGUCAUCUCGUCCGAGUCCUUGGAACAAAGAGGUGUGCAUUUUACAAAUUCAAACAUGAACAUAGUUCAACCUCCGUCAAGCCAACAUGGCAGGAUCUCUGCUGAUGGUCCUGUGGGUAUUCUCUGGGACAUUGAGAACUGCCCUGUCCCAAGUGAUGUCCGUCCUGAAGAUGUAGCUGGAAACAUCAGGAUGGCUUUGCGGGUACACCCAGUUAUUAAAGGAUCUGUGACGACGUUUUCUGCGUAUGGGGAUUUUAAUGCCUUCCCCAGGCGACUCAGAGAGGGCUGUCAGAGAACUGGUGUCAAACUCGUUGAUGUCCCAAAUGGUAGGAAGGAUGCUGCUGACAAGGCUAUUUUGGUUGACAUGUUUCUGUUUGCCCUUGACAACCCUCUCCCAUCUUCUAUUGUGCUCAUCUCUGGGGAUGUCGAUUUUGCUCCAGCACUUCAUAUACUCGGUCAACGUGGAUAUACUGUAAUCCUUGUUAUCCCUUCUGGGGUAGGUGUUUCAUCUGCCCUGAGCAGUGCUGGUAAGUUUGUCUGGGACUGGCCUAGUGUGGCUCGUGGUGAAGGUUUUGUCCCGCCAACUAAACCUUCGUUUCCCCCUCGUAGUGGCCCAGUUGACAUUGCUGGAUAUCUCAUGGGAUGCCAUAUCAGUGACAAUUUUGAUGGUCAAAAUGAAGGAAUCUCUCAAAGUUAUUGCAACACCAGAGAUUUCUCUAUGGUGUCACAUUCCCUUUCUGAAUACAACAGCAGUUCUUCAAUUGCUAUGCCUUGUUUUCCCUCAACUUUGAGGUCACAAAGCCUCCCCUCUGGUUUGAAUGAAGUGUCCGCGGGCCCUAUUUCUUCUGUUGAUAAACUUGAAACAAUUAUGUGGGUACAGCCAGGGGACAUGAAUGGUCUGAAGACGCAGCUGGUAAAGUUGCUUGAGCUUUCUGGAGGGUGUCUGCCUCUGAACCGUGUUCCUUCUGAAUACCAGAAAUUUUUUGGGCGGCCUCUGUAUGUAUCAGAGUAUGGAGUGUUCAAGCUUGUGAAUCUUUUCAAGAAAAUGAGUGAUGCCUUGGCAAUAGAUGGGAAGGGCAAAAAGAAAUGUGUCUACCUUCGAAACUGGAAGGCAGGCCCAAGUGCACCACCUUUGCCUUUGGCCAGGAAGGUUAAAGGGGGCGAACGUGCUCAGGAAGAGUGUAUUGAUGUUAUAGGUAAUGGUUCCUCGGAUGAGUUUUCAGAUGAGGAAAGAGUAAUGAUUGAGGAACAUGAUGAGACGAGGAACCAAGGGAGUUUUAAUAUGGGUGCAGCAGCUCGGUCGAAGAUUGAUGAUCAUGAUCUUGGACAAUUCAAGCUUGAGCUGCAAGAAAUUCUCGUUAGCUACUCUUGUAGGAUUUUUUUGGGCUGUUUUGAGGCGGUCUACCAGCAACGAUACAAGAGGCCAUUAGAUUAUCAAAAGUUUGGUGUGGAUCAGCUGGAGGAGCUGUUUGAGAAGAUGAGAGAUAUUGUGGUCUUGCAUGAAGAGCCAGUAACCAAGAGGAAGUUCUUGGAAGCAGUUGGCGGCUAGAAAAGUGGCAGCUGCUGCAUCUUGUAACCUUCAACUCUUUUGACCAAUAUAUAGAUCAGACAUCUGAGAGUAAUCUUAAACACACAGCAGCCAUGAUUAACCCGCGAGACCAAAGCAGGCAGUCUUGCUACAUCCAUAAUGUUUGUGUUAACAGUCAGAGUAAACUCAGCCUUGCUAUACUUUCCAGAGAGAUUCUUACUGGGUUUACAACUUUCAUUCCUGCUGGAGGCUUCACCACUACGUUAUACACCGAACAUGUAUAACUGGUAUUCGGCCACAUUUUUCAGAACCCUUUUGAAGGCAUUGGAGGUAGUUUUGGCGUUGUUCAAGAUGACUAUGAAGGAUGGAUCAUUAAGAUCCAGGUUAUCAUUUUUGCAUGGAUAAUUUGGCAUUCGAGUAAUAGUCGCAAUUUGUUGGCUUGUAUAGUUCUUGUGUAGUUCAAGCGACACAGAUAGUCGAUGUAGUGCUCGAUUUGAAUGUCAUCAGUAGUCCAGGAUCCAUCUCUUUGUUUGGGGUUACAUGUCCUCCCCCGAAAUCAGGAGGCGUCCCUGCAACUACAGCAGUCAUGUCCAUGAUUCCACCGUUUGCAUCAUCUCUGAUAUCCGUGGUUGUCAUCAUUGGAGAGUGGAUAGCAGCUGAACUCCAAUCAGAGUGGGUGGCCUUCAGCAAUGCAGCUAUACCAGCUACAUGAGGACAUGCCAUGGUUUUACUAGAUAAGAGAGCAUAGAGUCAGUAGGUAAAUAAUCUUGUGGAGCUGGCUUAGUGCCUGUUACUUGGAAUUUGAUACUGUUGGAUUCUUGGCAUUGAUUAGUGAAUUAGCUGCGCAGAUUUCCUUGCUU